AGGCUGAUUGAAAGGGAAGGACAUUUUUCAAAGGAAAUGGGUGGAAAGUGGAAUAUCGCUUUUUGAGGUAUUUAUUGGAUGAAUGAGAGUGAAAAAACUGCCUCCGUAUUUCCAAGUAUUUCCAAUUGUCUUCCUGUUGGGCUGAAGCAACACGCGUACAGCUUCUUCAGGCAGACAGAGUCAUGUGCUGUGUGUAAAACUCACUUUGAGGACUAUCAGUAAAGUUGCUAUAGUUAUGUUACUCCUACUGUAAAUAGCGUCUAUAUUUUUGGUAUAUUUGAUUGUGCAGUGUUAUUACUUGGGUUAAAAGGGAGACGGUUAGCCAGGAGAUUAACAGGGAUUAGUGAGGAUCUCUUUGAUCACACUGUUGUAAAGCAGAUUAUGUUCAGUCUUUUAGCAGACUGUGAACGAUUAGCAGUUCUCACAGAGAGCCCACAUCUUUCAAGGUUGGAUUAAGAGGAAGGGAGGGAUACUCGACUAUUAAUUGUGUCUUUAUGUCUUUGUUUCCUCCUGUCUGUGAAAUCCAAAGUAAGUAGCAGAAACUCCCAUUGUGAUUCAUCAGAAAGCACAUCAGAAAAAGCUGAUUGCAUGCAUCUAAAGAAGAAUAAAUGCAGAGUGAAGAUGUUUCUGUCACAGGCUCACAGUGGAUGAGAGAGGGCCAUAGGUUGGUGUAGUUUCACAGUGGAUGAGAAAGGACGAUAGGUUGGUGUAGUCUCACAGUGGAUGAGAGAGGGCCAUAGGUUGGUGUAGUCUCACAGUGGAUGAGAGAGGGCCAUGGGUUGGUGUAGUCUCACAGUGGAUGAGAGAGGGCCAUAGGUUGGUGUAGAGUUUUGUGUUUUCACCAGUAAUGUGUGGAGAUUUCCUAUGAUUUGGCUGAGGCAAGAGCCAGGAGUAUGGUGGUUUUGUAGGAGAGGAUCAAAUAGUUUAAAAGUAGACACACUAGAGUGCAGAAUCAAAGACAGGUAUGCUCUGCUGCUUCUAGUGUAUAGCCGACAACAUGUGCUGUUGCUAAUUCACCAACCACAUAACAGAAAAAGUGUCUGGCCCUGAGGGAAACCCACCAUUAGUCAGGCUCUUCACUUGUUGAUCUAGACCCUUCCCAUCCUUCCUCACCUGCAACACCUGAUUCCUACAUAAC